rnacentral:tRNA from 1 species
GGCAAGAUGGCCGAGUGGUCUAAGGCGCUGCGUUUAGGUUCGUUCUAAACAUCCUCCGCAGUCUUCACGGGCGUGGGUGUAAGUUAUUCUGCCUGCAUCCUUCUAGGCAGUUCACUAAUGGCAUUCAGUCGAAUCCCACUCUUGUCA